AUACGUAGGGGGCGAGCGUUGUCCGGAAUUACUGGGUGUAAAGGGUGCGUAGGCGGGACUGCAAGUCAGAUGUGAAAUGCCGGGGCUCAACCCCGGAGCUGCAUUUGAAACUGUGGUUCUUGAGUGAGGGAGAGGUAAGCGGAAUUCCUAGUGUAGCGGUGAAAUGCGUAGAUAUUAGGAGGAACAUCGGUGGCGAAGGCGGCUUACUGGGCCUUUACUGACGCUGAGGCACGAAAGCGUGGGGAGCAAACAGGAUUAGAUACCCUGGUAGUCCACGCUGUAAACGAUGAUGACUAGGUGUGGGGGGACUGAACCCUUCCGUGCCGCAGUUAACACAAUAAGUCAUCCACCUGGGGAGUACGACCGCAAGGUUGAAACUCAAAGGAAUUGACGGG
rnacentral:rRNA from 1 species